ensembl:Mt_tRNA
AGAAAGUUAGUCUAACCAAGACAGUUGAUUUCGACUCAACAGAUUAUAGCUUAAACCUAUAACUUUCUU